UUAAUGAGUGAGCUUUGGUAUGGAAACCUACCAAGUGAUAACUUUCAAAUUCAGAGAAACCCUGGAAUUAAAAACGGGCAAUCCUGAGCCAAAUCCUGUUUUCUGAAAACAAACAAAGGUUCAGAAAGCGAUAAUAAAAAAGGAUAGAUAGGGAUAGGUGCAGAGACUCAAUGGAAGUUGUUCUAACAAAUGGAGUUGGCCACGAUGUAAAGGACUCCUUCCAUCGAAAUUCCAGAAAGUAUGAAGAAUAAACGUAUAUAUACGUACUGAAAUACUAUCUCCAAACCAAAUGAUUAAUGACGACCCGAAUCUUUUUUUUUAUUUAUAUAAAAAAUGAAAGAAUUGUUGUGAAUCGAUUCCAAGUUGAAAACAGAAUCGAAUAUUCAUUGAUCAAAUCAUUUACUCCAUCGUAAUCUGAUCGAUCUUUUGAAGAAUUGAUUAAUCGGACGAGAAUAAAGAUAGAGUCCCGUUCUACAUGUCAAUAUCGAUGUCAAUAUCGACAACAAUGCAAUUUAUAGUAAAAGGAAAAUCCGUCGACUUUAGAAAUCGUGAGGGUUCAAGUCCCUCUAUCCCCA
rnacentral:ncRNA from 1 species